rnacentral:rRNA from 1 species
UAACGCGUGGGUAACCUGCCUCACACAGGGGGAUAACAGUUAGAAAUGACUGCUAAUACCGCAUAACCCGAUAGGAUCGCAUGAUCCAGACGGAAAAGAUUUAUCGGUGUGAGAUGGACCCGCGUCUGAUUAGCUAGUUGGUGAGGUAACGGCCCACCAAGGCAACGAUCAGUAGCCGGCCUGAGAGGGUGAACGGCCACAUUGGGACUGAGACACGGCCCAG